UUACCUACCCCUAUUCGAAACAAAGAAGAUAAAAAAUUAAACAAAAAAACCAUAGCUAAAUCCCUAAAACCGACCUUUAUUCCUCUUUGCUUUCCCCUUCCAUUUGCACUCUGAAGAUCGUGCGAAAAAACUUGAUGGAGCUAAUGCGAUCCUUAAGCUACAUCGUUCAAACGAGCAGUUAUGGAGGGUCCAAACAACGUCUAUCUUCCUCCGCUUGAAUCACUGCUCGCCCUGGGAUUUCUUCCACCCAAAACGCGUCUUCGUCGCCUAAUCAAUUGCUAGGAAAUGGGCGAAUUUUUUACCACAUCGAGAGAUUGAUCGGUACUCACAUACUUCAAAACUUCUCGCUCGUUGCUGGGCAUCACAGAUAAGUGCACUGAUUUCUGAUAGAUCUGGGCUUGGGUCUUUAAGUUUCAUGGUCACCGUUCGAGAAUCGCCUUCUAGUAUUACCUUCUGAAAACCCAAGUCGAUUGUUAAUUGCAGACUAUAGUUCGAUGCCAUUGCUUCAGCAACAAACUUCGAUGGAAUAUGACAGGUCAUUCGUAUGCAUUGUUAUGCAUUGCACGUGUUAAGGAGAAGCCUUCACUUUGGUGGAAUAUCAGGUUAAAGCAGGCAUUGAAAGUUGGCUUUAACCAUCUUGUUUUUUAAGACAAUUAUGAUACUGGAGCUGGAGAUCAUUAUUCACUGAGGCAGAUAUGUGACCAGUUCUAUAUAAGAGAUUCUUUCUUGGAGGCGCACGUGGAUUCAUUCAGGGUUUUAAUUGGUACAUGUUGGAUGAAGGAGAAAGAGACGAUGAUCAUGGAAUUGCCCGCAGAAUCAAUGAUCAAUGAAUCCUAGUGUUUGCUUUGUCAAAGCUGCUAAGGCUGAAGUUUUGGAUGAUCUUCAGGGGACCAUUGACACAUUGGCUUGGGGAAAGGUCUCUCGUAUUGGGGAAAUGAGCUAUGUUGUUUGUCUUGGCUGUA